AGGACUCCUACGGUGAUGGACACCCACCUUAUCAACCUCACGGAGGGACCCAGUUUAGUACCAUGGCACCAGCUGUAGGGAUGUCAUUUCAACCAACACAGGCACCACCACGACCUUUCGGAUCACAACAGUUAUAUGAUGCGGGACCUUCUUCGUAUUACCCUAUGGCGAC